GACGAACGCUGGCGGCGUGCCUAAUACAUGCAAGUAGAACGCUGAAGGAGGAGCUUGCUUCUCUGGAUGAGUUGCGAACGGGUGAGUAACGCGUAGGUAACCUGCCUGGUAGUGGGGGAUAACUAUUGGAAACGAUAGCUAAUACCGCAUAAUAGCAGUUGUUGCAUGAUAACUGUUUGAAAGGUGCAAUUGCACCGCUACCAGAUGGACCUGCGUUGUAUUAGCUAGUUGGUGGGGUAACGGCUCACCAAGGCGACGAUACAUAGCCGACCUGAGAGGGUGAUCGGCCACACUGGGACUGAGACACGGCCCAGACUCCUACGGGAGGCAGCAGUAGGGAAUCUUCGGCAAUGGACGGAAGUCUGACCGAGCAACGCCGCGUGAGUGAAGAAGGGUUUCGGAUCGUAAAGCUCUGUUGUAAGAGAAGAACGAGUGUGAGAGUGGAAAGUUCACACUGUGACGGUAGCUUACCAGAAAGGGACGGCUAACUACGUG
rnacentral:rRNA from 1 species